UUUCGAAUCAUUCACAAUGGGCGAAAGCCUGAUGGUGCGACGCCGCGUGAGGGAUGAAGGUCUUCGGAUUGUAAACCUCUGUCACUGGGGAAGAAACGCUUUGAGUUAAUAGUUCAAAGCCUGACUUAACCCGGAGAGAAAGCAGUGGCUAACUCUGUGCCAGCAGCCGCGGUAAUACAGAGACUGCAAGCGUUAUUCGGAUUCACUGGGCGUAAAGGGUGCGCAGGCGGCCGUGUGUGUGAAGUGUGAAAUCCCAGAGCUUAACUCCGGAACUGCGCCUCAAACUACACGGCUAGAGCAUUGGAGAGGGAAGUGGAAUUCACGGUGUAGCAGUGAAAUGCGUAGAUAUCGUGAGGAACACCAGUGGCGAAGGCGACUUCCUGGACAAUUGCUGACGCUCAG
rnacentral:rRNA from 1 species